rnacentral:rRNA from 1 species
GGCGGCGUGCCUAACACAUGCAAGUCGAGCGAGAAAACUCCUUCGGGAGUGAGUAAAGCGGCGAACGGGUGUCUAACACGUAAGAAUCUUCCCUUCAAUGAAGAAUACCCUCGAGAAAUCGGGGUUAAUACUGCAUAAUCCCUUCGGGGCAAAGGUGGCUUUAUGCUGCCGUUGAAGGAUGAGCUUGCGGGCUAUUAGCUAGUUGGUGAGGUAAAGGCUCACAAAGGCGAUGAUGGCUAGCCGGCCUGAGAGGGUGUACGGCCACAUUGGGACUGAGACACGGCCCAGACUCCUACGGGAGGCAGCAGUGGGGAAUAUUGCGCAAUGGGCGAAAGCCUGACGCAGCGACGCCGCGUGGAGGACGAAGGUCUUCGGAUUGUAAACUCCUGUUAAGUGGGAAGAAAACCCAAUCUCUAAUAUAGAUUGGGCAUGACGGUACCACUAGAGAAAGCACUGGCUAACCUCGUGCCAGCAGCCGCGGUAAUACGA